rnacentral:rRNA from 1 species
GAUGAACGCUGGCGGCGUGCUUAACACAUGCAAGUCGAACGGUGAAAGAGAGCUUGCUCUCUGGAUCAGUGGCGAACGGGUGAGUAACACGUGAGCAAUCUGCCCUUGACUCUGGGAUAAGCGCUGGAAACGGCGUCUAAUACCGGAUACGAGCUGCGAAGGCAUCUUCAGCAGCUGGAAAGAACUUCGGUCAAGGAUGAGCUCGCGGCCUAUCAGCUAGUUGGUGAGGUAACGGCUCACCAAGGCGUCGACGGGUAGCCGGCCUGAGAGGGUGACCGGCCACACUGGGACUGAGACACGGCCCAGACUCCUACGGGAGGCAGCAGUGGGGAAUAUUGCACAAUGGGCGCAAGCCUGAUGCAGCAACGCCGCGUGAGGGACGACGGCCUUCGGGUUGUAAACCUAUUUUAGCAGGGAAGAAGCGAAAGUGACGGUACCUGCAGAAAAAGCACCGGCUAACUACGUGCCAGCAGCCGCCGUAAAAC